AACCCACUUUGCCUUUCCUGUCUCUCUUUGCUCCAGCUGUUACAGCCCCUCAUGGUUUUCUUUCACUUGAAAUGGAGGAAGAAAAUGGGGCUGCUGGCUGUGAAUGCUCAGCUGUGUCCUCAGGACACCCAUUUCUUAGAGAUGCUGCUGUCAAGGUCCUUGCUGGAAGUCUCCAUUCAGCUCAGUAUGAGUCUGACAGCCCCAAGAUCUCUCCUCUGUUCUGCUGUCAUCCCUCUGUGCCCCUUCACUGCUGCUGGGGAAGCAGCUGGCUGUGCUGGCUGACUUGGAGCAGCACAGCAACACUGCCAGGUCCCAAACUAUUGCCUAUGCAAAACCCACACCAGCCUGGGUCCCCUUGAUUUUCAUAAAGCCUGUAGGAACUCCAAGGGUUUUAAAGGUCUGCUCCUCUGUCUCAUUUGGCUGAGAGUGGCUUCAGAGGUUCCUGCCAGACAAAAGGCAGCACCACAGCAUCUGUGUGUUUACUGCAACUCCUUAAUGGCAGCUCUAACCCCCCAAAUUAGUGGCCACCAGACAGCAACUGAUACUCUAC
rnacentral:lncRNA from 12 species